rnacentral:rRNA from 3 species
AAAUUGAAGAGUUUGAUCAUGGCUCAGAUUGAACGCUGGCGGCAGGCCUAACACAUGCAAGUCGAGCGGUAGCACAGAGAGCUUGCUCUCGGGUGACGAGCGGCGGACGGGUGAGUAAUGUCUGGGAAACUGCCUGAUGGAGGGGGAUAACUACUGGAAACGGUAGCUAAUACCGCAUAAUGUCGCAAGACCAAAGUGGGGGACCUUCGGGCCUCAUGCCAUCAGAUGUGCCCAGAUGGGAUUAGCUAGUAGGUGGGGUAACGGCUCACCUAGGCGACGAUCCCUAGCUGGUCUGAGAGGAUGACCAGCCACACUGGAACUGAGACACGGUCCAGACUCCUACGGGAGGCAGCAGUGGGGAAUAUUGCACAAUGGGCGCAAGCCUGAUGCAGCCAUGCCGCGUGUGUGAAGAAGGCCUUCGGGUUGUAAAGCACUUUCAGCGGGGAGGAAGGCGAUAAGGUUAAUAACCUUGUCGAUUGACGUUACCCGCAGAAGAAGCACCGGCUAACUCCGUGCCAGCAGCCGCGGUAAUACGGAGGGUGCAAGCGUUAAUCGGAAUUACUGGGCGUAAAGCGCACGCAGGCGGUCUGUCAAGUCGGAUGUGAAAUCCCCGGGCUCAACCUGGGAACUGCAUUCGAAACUGGCAGGCUAGAGUCUUGUAGAGGGGGGUAGAAUUCCAGGUGUAGCGGUGAAAUGCGUAGAGAUCUGGAGGAAUACCGGUGGCGAAGGCGGCCCCCUGGACAAAGACUGACGCUCAGGUGCGAAAGCGUGGGGAGCAAACAGGAUUAGAUACCCUGGUAGUCCACGCCGUAAACGAUGUCGAUUUGGAGGUUGUGCCCUUGAGGCGUGGCUUCCGGAGCUAACGCGUUAAAUCGACCGCCUGGGGAGUACGGCCGCAAGGUUAAAACUCAAAUGAAUUGACGGGGGCCCGCACAAGCGGUGGAGCAUGUGGUUUAAUUCGAUGCAACGCGAAGAACCUUACCUGGUCUUGACAUCCACAGAACUUAGCAGAGAUGCUUUGGUGCCUUCGGGAACUGUGAGACAGGUGCUGCAUGGCUGUCGUCAGCUCGUGUUGUGAAAUGUUGGGUUAAGUCCCGCAACGAGCGCAACCCUUAUCCUUUGUUGCCAGCGGUCCGGCCGGGAACUCAAAGGAGACUGCCAGUGAUAAACUGGAGGAAGGUGGGGAUGACGUCAAGUCAUCAUGGCCCUUACGACCAGGGCUACACACGUGCUACAAUGGCAUAUACAAAGAGAAGCGACCUCGCGAGAGCAAGCGGACCUCAUAAAGUAUGUCGUAGUCCGGAUUGGAGUCUGCAACUCGACUCCAUGAAGUCGGAAUCGCUAGUAAUCGUAGAUCAGAAUGCUACGGUGAAUACGUUCCCGGGCCUUGUACACACCGCCCGUCACACCAUGGGAGUGGGUUGCAAAAGAAGUAGGUAGCUUAACCUUCGGGAGGGCGCUUACCACUUUGUGAUUCAUGACUGGGGUGAAGUCGUAACAAGGUAACCGUAGGGGAACCUGCGGUUGGAUCACCUCCUUA